rnacentral:lncRNA from 1 species
CGAUCCUUUAUUAGUUGGUGAAUAUUGGAAAUGUGAAUUUUCUGUUUACACACUCUAGAGUUUAUCAAAAUAAUUUCCAGAAUAUUAUACUCAUGAACUUGCUAAUAUAGUUGCAUUUAUUUUGGAGGUUGACAAACUAUAAAGCAGGAGCAUAGGCUACCACUCCCUUGUGAACUACAACUGCAUUUUUGGGGCAUUUCACUUGCUGGAUAUCUUUUUAUGGCUUCUAAACCGCAACUGAAAUUGCCACACUUAUCGGUUACUUGGAAGCUCGUUGGACAUAGUUUUGGUGGUUGCCCUGAAUUUAUAAGACCAAACCAAUGAAAAAAUAAAUUAGCCUUUAUAUCAUGCAAUUAAAAAAAAAAAAAAGAACAAUCCAGUGCACAAAGUAUCCUGCGUUUACAUAGGGUCCGGGGGAAAGGCUGCAAAUAGCAGCCUACCCAAAUACAAGUAUCAGUGGCAAAUUCCACGGCUCGAACCCGUGACCAGGUUCGAACUCGUAACCCAUAGGUCUGUUUACCCUAAAAAAAGGUACAACUAAUUGAGUACAAAGUAGGCACUGGAAUUAUUUUCUCGGAUAAAUUUAAUUCACGUAUUUAUAACUACGUUGCAAAUCCAAUUGUACCUUUUUCGAGGGUAAACAAGGUCACACGGAGACAAUGGAAUUAAAAUUUGUGCAGAAUCAAAUCAAAAUGAUUAAUGCUAAGAAGUAACGAAAUUCAUACCAAGAGAAGGAGCUGAGAAGCUCAACAGAAGAGCAAUUGAGAGUAGGAACAAAAUACUGAAAUUCUUCAUUAUUUAUUGGAAUUGAUUCACACUUUCUGUAUGAUUAUCG